rnacentral:rRNA from 1 species
GAAAGUAAUUAAGGGCGUAUGGCGAAUGCCUUGGCUCUCAAAGGCGAUGAAGGACGUGAUAAGCUGCGAUAAGCUACGGUUAGAGGCAAAUACUCAUUUACCCGUAGAUUUCCGAAUGGGGCAACCCAAUAGUUUGAAGAACUAUUAUCCGAAAGGAUGCAAACCCGGAGAACUGAAACAUCUAAGUACCCGGAGGAAAAGAAAACAAUUUAGUGAUUCCCUAAGUAGUGGCGAGCGAAAGGGGAAUAGCCCAAACCAUAAAUGUUACGGCAUUUAUGGGGUUGUAGGACUACAAUAUUGACUAUAUUUUUAAAGUGGAAUCAGAUGGAAAUAUGAGCCAUAGACGGUGAAAGCCCGGUACACGAAUUAAAAGUAUUACAUAGUAGUAUCCUGAGUACCGCGAGGUCGGAGACGCCUUGUGGGAAUCCACCAGCACCAUCUGGUAAGGCUAAAUACUUUUGAGAGACCGAUAGUGAACUAGUACUGUGAAGGAAAGGUGAAAAGAACCGCGAAUAGCGGAGUGAAAUAGAACCUGAAACCAUACGCCUACAAGCGGUCGGAGCAGCUAAGUGCUGUGACGGCGUGCCUUUUGCAUAAUGAGCCUACGAGUUACUCCUCUCUAGCAAGGUUAAAGAUUUAAGAUCUGCAGCCGAAGCGAAAGCAAGUCUGAAUAGGGCGUAUAGUUAGAGGGGGUAGACGCGAAACCUUGUGAUCUACCCAUGACCAGGUUGAAGUUCCGGUAACACGGAAUGGAGGACCGAACUGAUAAGCGUUGAAAAGCUUCCGGAUGAGUUGUGGGUAGGGGUGAAAGGCUAAUCAAACUGGGAAAUAGCUCGUACUCCCCGAAAUGUUUUUAGGAACAGCCUCGAGGUUGAGUGUUAUAGAGGUAGAGCUACUGAUUGGACUAGGGGGCUUCACCGCCUACCAAAUCCUGACAAACUCCGAAUACUAUAACAUAUACUCGGGAGUGAGCCCAUGGGUGCUAAGGUCCGUGGGCGAAAGGGAAAGAACCCAGACCAACAGCUAAGGUCCCUAAAUCUAUGUUAAGUUGAUCUAACGUGGUCCGAUUGCUUUGACAGCUAGGAUGUUUGCUUGGAAGCAGCAAUUCAUUUAAAGAGUGCGUAACAGCUCACUAGUCGAGCGAUUGGGCGUGGAUAAUAAUCGGGCAUCAAACAUAGUACCGAAGCUUUGGCAACGAAAGUUGGGUAGGGGAGCAUUCUAGCGGCAUUGAAGCUGUAACGUGAGUUAUGGUGGAGCUUCUAGAAAAGCAAAUGUAGGCAUAAGUAACGAUAAGGCAGACGAGAAAUCUGCCCACCGAUAGACUAAGGUUUCCUGAACAACGUUAAUCGAUUCAGGGUUAGUCGGGACCUAAGGCGAAGCCGAAUGGCGUAGUCGAUGGACAACUGGUUAAUAUUCCAGUACUUGCUUUACUGCGAUGUGGUGACGAAGUAGUGAAAGUUCUGCGCACUGACGAACAUGUGCGUUAAAAGAUGUAGAUAUAAGUUGUGUAGGUAAAUCCGCACGAUUUGUCGAAUCCGAUAGUAUCGAGAGCCUUCGGGCAAUUGAAUAUGAACCUAAUCAGACUUCCAAGAAAAACCACUAAGCUUCAGGUAACAGCAACCCGUACCGCAAACCGACACAGGUAGUCAAGGAGAGAAUCCUGAGGUGCUCGAGUGAUCCGCGGCUAAGGAACUAGGCAAAUUAACCCUGUAACUUCGGGAAAAAGGGUGCCUUCAGCAAUGAAGGCCACAGUAAAAUGGCUCUGGCGACUGUUUAUCAAAAACACAUGGCUAUGCUAAACUGAAAGGUGAUGUAUAUGGCCUGACACCUGCCCGGUGCUGGAAGGUUAAGAGGAGAGGUUAUUCGCAAGAAGAAGCUUUGAAUUGAAGCCCCAGUAAACGGCGGCCGUAACUAUAACGGUCCUAAGGUAGCGAAAUUCCUUGUCGGGUAAGUUCCGACCUGCACGAAUGGUGUAAUGAUCUGGGCACUGUCUCAGCCAUGAGCUCGGUGAAAUUGUAGUAUCGGUGAAGAUGCCGAUUACCCGCAACGGGACGGAAAGACCCCAUGCACCUUCACUAUAGUUUAACAUUGACUUUGGAUAAAUCAUGUGUAGGAUAGGUGGGAGACUUUGAAGUGGUGUCGCUAGGCAUCAUGGAGUCAACGUUGAAAUACCACCCUUGAUUUAUUUGGAGUCUAACUCCUAACGGAGGACAUUGUUUGAUGGGUAGUUUGACUGGGGUGGUCGCCUCCAAAAAUGUAUCGGAGGCUUUCAAAGGUACCCUCAGCACGCUUGGUAACCGUGCGUUGAGUAUAUUGGCAAAAGGGUGCUUGACUGUGAGACCGACAAGUCGAACAGGUACGAAAGUAGGACAAAGUGAUCCGGUGGUUCCAUAUGGAAGGGCCAUCGCUCAUAGGAUAAAAGGUACGCCGGGGAUAACAGGCUGAUCAUUCCCAAGAGCUCAUAUCGACGGAAUGGUUUGGCACCUCGAUGUCGGCUCGUCACAUCCUGGGGCUGGAGAAGGUCCCAAGGGUUCGGCUGUUCGCCGAUUAAAGUGGCACGUGAGCUGGGUUCAGAACGUCGUGAGACAGUUCGGUCCCUAUCUGUUGCGGGCGUCGGAAGUUUGAGGGGAGCUACCAUUAGUACGAGAGGACCGUGGUGGACGAACCGCUAGUGUACCAGUUGUCCCGCCAGGGGCACCGCUGGGUAGCUAUGUUCGGACGGGAUAAGCGCUGAAAGCAUCUAAGCGCGAAGCCCACCCCAAGAUGAGACUUCCUUUAAGGGUCGUGGAAGACUACCACGUUGAUAGGCCACAGGUGUAAAGUCAGCAAUGGCAAAGCCGAGUGGUACUAAUUACCCAUAAACUUUGACCG